rnacentral:sRNA from 1 species
GCUGGGCAUGGUAGCACCCGCCUGUAAUCCCAGCAGCUUGGGAGGCUGAGGCAGGAGGAUCGCAAGUUCAAAGCCAGCCUAAGCCAGCCUCAGCAAAAACAAGGUGCUAAGCAACUCAGUGAGACCCUGUCUCUA